UGAAUGAGCACAGCGGGCGGAGAGAGGGCUGAGCCUCACCCCUGACGGAUCGGGGCGCCGAAGAGGUUUUCUCAAGUUGAGGAAGUAGCAGGGCAUUUGGUUGGUACCUGACCCCAAAACGUAUGCUCUACCUUGAGAAGAGCUGAUG
rnacentral:lncRNA from 1 species